CGGUGGAGCAUGUGGUUUAAUUCGAAGCAACGCGAAGAACCUUACCUGGCCUUGACAUCCAAUGAACUUUCCAGAGAUGAUGUCCGCAUUAACAGGUGUGACGAGCGCAACCCUUGUCCUUAGUUACCAGCGGGAUGUCAAGUAUCAUGGCCCUUACGGCCUGGCUACAUACAUGGUCGGUACAAGGGUCGCCAAGCCGCGAGGUGGAGCUUCUCACAAAACCGAUCGUAGUCCGGAUCGCAGUGCAACUCGACUGCAUGAAGUCGGAAUCGCUAGUAAUCGGAAUCAGAAUGUCGCGGUGAAUACGUUCCCGGGCCUUGUACACACCGCCGUCACACCAUGGGAGUGGGUUGCACCAGAAGUAGCUAGUCUAACCUUCGGGAGGACGGUUACCACGUGUGAUUCAUGACUGGGGUGAAGUC
rnacentral:rRNA from 1 species